rnacentral:rRNA from 1 species
GAUGAACGCUAGCGGCAGGCCUAACACAUGCAAGUCGAGGGGCAGCAUAAAAUAAACUUGUUUAUUUGGUGGCGACCGGCGCACGGGUGCGUAACGCGUAUGCAACCUACCUUACACAGGGGGAUAGCCCGGAGAAAUUCGGAUUAAUACCCCAUAGCACUAUCGGAUGGCAUCAUUUGAUAUUUAAAGCUUUGGCGGUGUAAGAUGGGCAUGACGUCCUAUUAGCUAGUUGGUGAGGUAACGGCUCACCAAGGCUACGAUAGGUAGGGGGCCUGAGAGGGUGGUACCCCACACUGGUACUGAGACACGGACCAGCCUCCUACGGGAGGCAGCAGUGGGGAAUAUUGGACAAUGGGCGCAAGCCUGAACCAGCCAUGCCGCGUGAAGGAUGAAGGUUCUAUGGAUGGUAAACUUCUUUUAUUUGGAAAUAAACCCCUUUACGUGUAGAGGGCUGAAGGUACCAAAUAAAUAAGCACCGGCUAACUCCGUGCCAGCCGCCGCCGUAAUAC